UAAGACGUGGUUGGAUAAACGCAUGUUGUUCAGCAGAGGCCGUUAACCUUUAAAGCGCUGAUACGUUUUGGUUUAUUUCAAUUUUUUUAACUCAAAUUGCUGUCUUUUUAAGAAGUCUCUGAAAUCGUCUCCCUUGACAGGGCAAGCGAAACAUGCCUUAAAUCUGCAUCUCGUGGAAGAUCUGCUUGGCUGGCAGCUGCUAUGUGUUGCUGUUGGCUUUUAAGGAACAUCUCUGUGUGGUGGUUUUUUGUUGUUUAGCUUUGUUUUAUUAUUUUUUCCUUUUUCUAUUUGUUUUAUUUGAUUGGGUUUUUUUGUCUUUUGCAUUCCGUUUUUCAAAGAGCUUUGGCAAACACCAGGGCCAUCAAGGCCAGGGCAGGCCCUCUACUUCUCUUCUGCUCCUCUGCCGUCUACCAAGGUGCAAAAUUUGCAAGAUUAUCUACUGCCUCCAAUCCCAGCCUUCUCCCAUCCAUGGGAUGCUCCCCAGUCCUGUCUGGAAAGCUACAGGCAGGAAUGAAGCUGGGAAGAUGGGACUGGAGAAAUUAUCCAAGAGACCCAAGGACAGAGCCGGGGGGGAUGCAGCUGAGCAAAGAUCAGCACAAGGAGUAUGGCAAGCCACAAGUUCACAGAUGUUGUGCCUAUCAGGAUCUUUGUGGUGUCUGCUGAAGUCCAUGAGCUUUAACCCCAACCAUCUGAAGACAGAAUUAGACCUGGAGAAAAGUUCCUGCAACUCAAAGAAACCAGUCCCUUUUAAGAGCUGCCUGGGUUCAGGAAGAACUUUGCUGUUCCUUGAGGCAGGAGGUGAGUGUGGGACAGAGAGAUGGAUGCUGCCUUUCUCUUCAUGGAAAGAUGUGGCGUGCCCAAGGCCAUGCAGAUAGGAAUGCUGAUGGGAAUAAGAGGGUGGCAAGUUGCUGGGAAGAAGUGCUCACCCGAAUGAGGAUGAACCAUCUGCAUCAUCAUUUAGGCUUUCCUUCCUCUCCAGAAACCACAGACAUCUUCUUCUAAUGGUAGAAUUACAGCUCUUGAUUCCUCUAAAACUGACACUGAGCCUUCCCUUUUUUAUUGCUGGUGGGAGUUCAGGUCCCCCUGUGUCUUUGUAGAGGGCUUCCUUGUGUUUCACCUGUCCUCAACACCGUUCUGUCAGUGGCUCUCACUGACAGCACUUUCCUCAUUGUGUGAAUACAGAUCUCUCCUCAUUCUUAGUGCAGCACCCAGCUUCUACCAGAGAGGAGUCACUUGGUGGAUUUAGGAAGAGGUGUUCUGGCUGGAUGAUAGCUACUAGACCUCCUACAGAAAGAAGAAGGUAUUUCCUCUGCCAGUCGAGGACUUCUGUGGUUGUCUCUGUGCAAGUGGAAGAAGAAAGCUUUACCUGACACCACAUGAAUUAAGUUGAACGUAUUGGCCAAAGGCUCAGUCCAUUCCACAACAAAGCUGAAGAAAAGCCGGUCUAUAUGGAAUGGAGCCCAGCAAAUGGCAAAAACUAUCACAAGGACAACUGGCAUGGAGAAAGGGGAGAAAGAAACAGGUCUUAUUUUGCAAAAUAUUCAUUGACACUAUGUAAAGACCCCUCAACAGCCUCCAGACACUGGGGAUAGUUUAACCCAUUCACUGCCUCGAGGAUCUGCUCUGUGAUACAGAUUUCUGUCAGUUAAUCCUUUUUUUUUUUUUCCCUGGUCUCUACUGCAAAGGUGUAAAUCUCUGGGAGGCUGGAAUCAAUCUAGAGACUUGGGUGUUUCAUUAACAUUCAGAUGUGAGCAGAAGUGAUGGUAAGUUUUUAUAAGAUUGGGGUAAAUUAUUCCCCAACAUAGCUAUAUUAAUUUCAGAAUGGGAUUGCAACCAGAGAAGGAGCUGGAUCUACUGUUUUCAGAGGUUUGAAACACUUUGGCUGUUUUGGGGAGAAAACAGAUGGGCAAGAAAGAGGCGCAAAAAUCACUCAAAGCCACAUAUAGACACAAACACACAAGAACGAGCCAAGGAAACACUGAGCACAGUUGGAGAAGGACUUACUCUUAGCCCCAUCAGAUAGUACAGCACACUUAUCACCCCCAUGGGCAGCACAUAGAAGAGGAAAGAGGUGAUCUGGACAAUACAGUUGUAGAUCCAGAGGGGCAUGACCACAGUGCAGGUGGCAGAGCCGGGGACCAGGGUGCCAUUGGGGAAGUGCUGCAGCACGAUGCCGUGGGUGCCCGUGUUGGGGAGGGCGAAGAGCACGGAGAGCACCCAGAGAGCCACGAUGGUCCUGAGGGCGCGCCGGCGGGUGCUCUCCAGCUUGGCGCGGAAGGGGUGCAGGAUGGCGAUGUACCUCUCCACGCUGAGCGUGGUCACGCUGAGGAUGGAGGCAAAGCACACGGUCUCGAAGAGCGCCGUCUUCAGGUAGCAGCCCACGCGCCCCAACAGGAAGGGGUAAUUGCUCCACAUCUCGUAGACUUCCAGGGGCAUCCCAAAGAGCAGCACGAGCAGGUCCGAGACUGCCAGGCUGAACAGGUAAUAGUUGGUCGGGGUCUUCAUGUUCCGGUGCUUGAGGAUUACGAGGCAAACCAAGAAGUUCCCCACCACCCCGACAAUGAAGAUCACGGAGUACACCAAAGCCAUGGGCAGGAAUAGGUGGCUCCUCCUGGGCCCACACAGGAAGGUUAAAUAAUCCUCAGUGCUGUUUAAGUACCCCCUGAGACGUUCUUCAUGUAGAGCAAGGUGGUUUAACCAAGAGAAAUUACUGACCCAGGCCAUGGCUGGACCUGCUGAAAUGUUUCACUGCUGAGGUUGGUUGUCCUUUCUGUUUCUCUGAGCAAGUUUGCUCACUUUUUGCAGAGAUGGAAGGAGGGGUGUAGUUGCCUUGCCAGCCCUGAUGCACAGAGGCACUGAGGAUGUGAAUGAGUGUGUUUGCCUGGCUCUGGGUAAGGUUUUGCUGCUCAACAGCUGUUCCCCUGCACAGAGCCCCUCAGCCAGAAAGCCCCUCCUUUCCCACAUAUUCAUUGGCUCGCUAAGUGCGUUAGAUUAUAGAGUACAAAAAGAGGUUCCAGCCACUUGCAUCAGCUGCUGUGGCUGAUGCAUUUACAGAGUCAGAAAUGUGGGAUUUAGGGAGCUGGGAAUCUGAAAUACAGGAUACAAAACCAGCUGCAGGUUAUUUGUAUUUGCCAGAGGGGAGGAAAGCAGACCAGAAACACCCCCAAAACUCAGUCUAAACAGCUUUUACAAAAUGAUAGUGAUGCUACAUCCAGUUACGAGCCACAAGCAAAACAAAACAAAACAGAAGAUUCUGACAUAAUUUUGCUUUUCAAAUCUCUGCUGAUUUUUAUUUUCUGUUGUCUAUGGCAAGUACUUGGAGACAGACUUUGAUCGGUAGAAAGCCAAAUGGUUUUUGUAGCCAUUUAUGUGGAAUUAUAAUGCUUCAGCCUUUUUUUAAACACUGCAAUUGUUUUUCUCCUGAAAUCUUCUCCUGACAAAAGAUUUUAAUUGCAAUUCUUAUUGACUUAAAAAUAUUUUCUCACUGUCCAAGUAUGCUGGAAUUUGAUCCUAUAUUCUUAGAGAGCCUUGUUUUGGGAAUAUUUCUGUACAACAUAUUAUUCCAUAUUUAUUGCCCAUGGGGCAUGAACUUUUAUAAACUCUUAUUUCUUCAUGAAUGACAAGCAUUCUGCAAACACACUUUCUGAGCAAAAAAAAGAGUGUCUCCUGCAAGGAUCACGGCUGUGCCAAAAUAGAUCAUUUAUCUCUGAAUGAAUGCUUGAUUCCUUACCGAAUUUCUCUAAAACAAAAAAAGUUCCAAGUCUGUAGAUACAAUUUUCUGAGAUUCAGAAAACAUUCGCCUGUUUGGAAUUGAAGAGAUGCAAGAUCUGAGGGUGAGUUUAUGGGAUUUUUGCCAGCUUGGUGUGUGAUUUUUCUGCCCAGAACCUCUUACAAGGUUCAAGGCCUCCUUGAAGCCUUGUAAACUUUUUACAUCCCUGACAUCCUUUGGCAAGGACUUCCUUGAAUCUGCUAUUUAUGUGUGUAUCUCUUUUCUCUAUUUGACUCUUUAGCUUGACUUCUCAAAAAAAAAGAUUGUUUCAAUAAGCACAGACUGCCUCCAAAACAGCAGCAGUGUGUGAGGAACCAAAGGUUGGUCCCUUUGAGGCACAUUCAAUGUGUGGAGCCUGGGAAUUACUGUACAGUCACUUAAAAUGUGAAAGACAUGGAAGGUACCAAAACAACCAUACUAAAAGGCAGAAGCAAGUCUCUUGUGAUGACUUUCAGACCUGCUGAAAUUAUCUCACACAUAAACUGUCUCAGUCAGAAGGACCCAACUCAUUUAUUUUUAGCAUUGCACAGAGAUAUUUUGUUCAGCAGAUCGAAAAGUUUUACUGGAUUAUUGAAUAACAAAUGUGCCCCUUUGACCUAUUGCUCCCUUCAUUAAGGAUUCAUCUUAUAGCUAUUCGCUGCAUUUUAAUGUUGAAUUUGAUCUUGAUCUGCUGCUGAUGUAAGAGGUAGGAGCAGAGGAAUCGUUAGUCGGGUUCCUGGCUGACACCCAGAUUAACUCUUUCGGAGCACAGCAGAACAUAAGUAUUUGAGAAUUUGUGCAAGAAUAAACAUUUUCUGUUCCUCUGCUUAACUUUCAGGUUCGUAGGGUAUUUUUUGUUUCAUUUUUUUGCUUGUUUGUUUUGUUUUGUUUUGUUUAUUUGGGGCUUUUUAAAAUUUUGUUUUGUUUUGUUUUUUUUCCCCACAUAAUCUCUUAAUACUUAAUUUCUUUCCGUUUUUGCUUUUUCUUCCCCUGGUAAAUUCCACCACUCCACACGCUGCAGCAUGACUGAGGUGAGUAAACACUUCUGAAGUAGCUACCAAAUUGGCUUCAUUUUUCUUCUUGCACAUUAACCACUGUGAAGAAAGUGAAGUGGAAGAUUGAGUCUGUUCAGCUUGAAGCCAGUCUUACAGAAAAGGAAACCAAAAAGGAUUGAGUUAUUUACUAAAAAGCCAAAAGGGCACUAACACCCACUGUGAUCUCUGUGAGAGGAAAGCAAUGGGCUCUAGAAACACAUCAGGUUACCUGAAAGUGUGGGUGUGCCAGACCCACCUGUGCCUACUUCCACUUGUUCUCAAUCCUUUCUGAUCCUGCUGAGUGCAGAUGCUGACAGCCUGUAAGAAUAGAAGCAGAAGAAAAACAGAUAACCCAUGGAAUGAUGUUGCUAUGACCACGAUUAUGUUGCAGAUGGAGAGGACAAAGAGAGUGGAAAAUAUAUUUCAGUUCAUUUCUCAAAGUUUUAUUUGUGUUCUAUAUCAUAUCUGUCUCAAUAAGGACAGAAGAAUGUAUCCAACCAAAGACUUGCUUUGGCUCUAUAUGAAUGGAAAUAUUUUAUUUUUAUGACUGAGACAGAAAAUAAAAACAAAUUUUCCUUAUAAUAGUAAUAUUAAAGCAUUUGGUAUUUUUCUCUAUAAAGCAAA